AGAAACAACACCGGGAAAUAUACAGUGGAAGUUAGCAAGUCAAGCCGGACAGAUGAAUUUUGUUCCCUCAUGUGAUAACAAAAGCCACUUCAAGAUCGACAAGUGGAACGUUACGUGAACGUUUCUACCACGAGAUUAUAGUGAAUAAGCAAAAUAUGAUCAUUGUUUAUCCGUGGAGAAUCAGUGAAAAAUUUUGUUAAGGAAAACAUUCCCCUGUACAUUCCAGAAACUGACAGUGAUUACUAACCAUAGCCUCUCAGUAUGUAUUGUAGAACCAAACAAAAAGUAAACUGUUUGACGUGAAACGACCCCAGAGAAAACUGGGCUCCAAUAGGCUUCUUGUUCACAGGCUUACGUAACCGAGACCCUUUUGCAAUUACCUUGUGCCUACAUUAGAUUGGAUAGAAGCUUGUGUAGAAGCCUGGAUGCACUAAAACAAGGUGAAAUGUUUCGCGUUUCAAUAUAAGUUUUGUAUAACAAGUGUCAAAUUUGUCGCGCGUUUAUUGGCCAAUCGUUGUGGAGGCGGAUCCAGGGGAGGGGCUGAGGAAGUUACAAAACCCCCUUUGAGUAGCAUAAAUAUAAUAAAAUUGUUUUAUACCUAGUUGUUUCACUUCGGUUCCACCAAUUGCCUGAUCGUCUUAGCGGGAAAAGAUGAUAAACCUUUUACCAUUGCAUUAUCUUUCGGUUUUCUGGUUGAUAAAAAGGAAACUACAGAUUUUAUAUCAUGUCUCCACAAACGUUUUUCAAGUGUCAGGAAUGCUGGAAAUGGUGUUUUAGAUGGUAAAAUCGGAAAAACAUUUUCUCUCUUGAAGCUCUCGCCUGCGGCAUUCUCCAUCCACGCCGAUGGGGUCGAAGUUAUUAAGGUGUAUAACUACCUCCCCCCCCCCCCUCCCCCCAUUCAGGAUCCGCCUCUGCAUGGGCUGAGAAAAAUCUCAUGCUAAUUUGGGGACACAAAAUGUUGACGACGUUAGGAAAUUGCGGAAAUAUUAGACCUACUUGAGCUACCUCCCGUGUAGGAACUAAUCAAUUUUUUAAACCUUGUAUACUAAACCAGUUGUAAUUAGGCGCAAUUUAGAUGUUCAGUGAAUAGUAAACAGGUAAUGUUGUAAACGGACGUUUCAAAAAUUAACGUUUGAAUACGUCGUACCCAAUCGUAAAAAACUAAGAACAAAUACCUUCAUUAUAAGGAAUUUUUCGGGUUGAGAGACUUAGUUUUUUGGUCUGUUUUGUCCUGUCUGUUUAGUUUUCUUUUUCCAUAAGGUUUUCGUAUUCAAUUUAGGCCCCAUGCCCAAUAAGAGGUCGUCACAAUAAGAGGUAUAAGACCGUAUGAACGUAAGCGAGAAUGCUAGUUUAGUUUGCUCUUAUUCGCUUCUUUACUAGGAAUUCCCUUUAGUAAUUACUAGGUAAUACAUAAAUGAGAAACAUAUGUACAUAUAAUACAGUUUUAAAAAAGAUAAAGAACGGGUUCCAUUAGUUAAGGAAAGUAAUAAUAAAUAAGACCAGCGAGAAAUUGAA